rnacentral:tRNA from 1 species
GAGGGUAUAGCUCAGUGGUAGAGCUCAUGCUUAGCCUGCACGAGGUCCUGGGUUCAAUCCCCAGUACCUCCA